GUGGGGAAUAUUGCACAAUGGAGGAAACUCUGAUGCAGCGACGCCGCGUGAGUGAAGAAGUAUUUCGGUAUGUAAAGCUCUAUCAGCAGGGAAGACAGUGACGGUACCUGACUAAGAAGCUCCGGCUAAAUACGUGCCAGCAGCCGCGGUAAUACGUAUGGAGCAAGCGUUAUCCGGAUUUACUGGGUGUAAAGGGAGUGUAGGUGGCAGCACAAGUCAGAAGUGAAAGCCCGGGGCUCAACGCCGGGACUGCUUUUGAAACUGUGCAGCUAGAGUGCAGGAGAGGUGAGUGGAAUUCCUAGUGUAGCGGUGAAAUGCGUAGAUAUUAGGAGGAACACCAGUGGCGAAGGCGGCUCACUGGACUGUAACUGACACUGAGGCUCGAAAGCGUGGGGAGCAAACAGGAUUAGAAACCCGAGUAGUCC
rnacentral:rRNA from 1 species